UUACAAAUCUACGCGUCUUUACCAAAGUCACGCUACACUGUCCAGCACGGACCCCAUAUUGCACCCGAUGACGUCACGGACGCACUAGCAUCGCGCUCGCUCAUUGGUGGAGGUUCCGGAUCUUGGUGUCGCAGUUGCUACGAUGCCGGCCUGGCGAAUGCUCCUGCACACGGCACCUCCGCACAGCUGGACGAGCUCCGUGAGACUGUGGCAGGGCGGCUGAGACAACGACGACACAAACAUGAGUGGCUGGUCACGGAACAGAUCCUGCUGAUGCUCUCCGGCUGAAAGAUGCUGCUGUAACCGGCAGAUCUGCAAGAAAGAGCAGAGAGAAAGGUUGCCAUUAGCAAUAGUACAUAAAUAAUAACCGUGUGAAAUAAUGCCAUCUGAUGCAAGUUGGCGAUUUAAUCUCUAGAAAGAAACCUCAAAAUUGCCUUACUCUUAGUCUAUGGAGCUACUUGUAUCAUAUGUACACUUUUCUGGCCACAACUUUUAGGAUCUUGAAAGUUACAAUCUGACUGUGUAGCUUUCAUGUACUGAUUUCCUGCAGGAAAAUACACUUAAAAGUAGGGAUGUAAACAAAUAUGAAUAUAUCCUUCAGAAUGAAUGGAUAAUGUGUUAUAAACAGACACAAAUACAGCUACUAAUAGAAGGCACACUAUUCAUUUUUUUUUUUUUUUUUUUUUUUUUAAUGUAUUGUUGGUGGUUUUAGAGGUCCAACCGAUCUAUUGCUUUUGCUUGCUGGAACUAUGGGUUAUAUGCAAAAAUCUAGAGCGGCCUCUAGAGGCGAAAUAAAAACUAUCGCUGACAAA